rnacentral:rRNA from 1 species
UACGGAGGAUCCGAGCGUUAUCCGGAUUUAUUGGGUUUAAAGGGUGCGUAGGCGGCCUUUUAAGUCAGCGGUGAAAGUCUGUGGCUCAACCAUAGAAUUGCCGUUGAAACUGGGGGGCUUGAGUAUGUUUGAGGUAAGCGGAAUUCCUAGUGUAGCGGUGAAAUGCGUAGAUAUUAGGAGGAACACCAGUGGCGGAGGCGGCUUACUGGACGGUAACUGACGCUGAGGCUCGAAAGCGUGGGGAGCAAACAGG